rnacentral:rRNA from 2 species
AUGCAGUCGAGCGGAUCGAUGGGAGCUUGCUCCCUGAGAUCAGCGGCGGACGGGUGAGUAACACGUGGGUAACCUGCCUGUAAGACUGGGAUAACUCCGGGAAACCGGGGCUAAUACCGGAUAACACCUACCCCCGCAUGGGGGAAGGUUGAAAGGUGGCUUCGGCUAUCACUUACAGAUGGACCCGCGGCGCAUUAGCUAGUUGGUGAGGUAAUGGCUCACCAAGGCGACGAUGCGUAGCCGACCUGAGAGGGUGAUCGGCCACACUGGGACUGAGACACGGCCCAGACUCCUACGGGAGGCAGCAGUAGGGAAUCUUCCGCAAUGGACGAAAGUCUGACGGAGCAACGCCGCGUGAGUGAAGAAGGUUUUCGGAUCGUAAAACUCUGUUGUUAGGGAAGAACAAGUGCCGUUCGAAUAGGGCGGCGCCUUGACGGUACCUAACCAGAAAGCCACGGCUAACUACGUGCCAGCAGCCGCGGUAAUACGUAGGUGGCAAGCGUUGUCCGGAAUUAUUGGGCGUAAAGCGCGCGCAGGUGGUUUCUUAAGUCUGAUGUGAAAGCCCACGGCUCAACCGUGGAGGGUCAUUGGAAACUGGGGAACUUGAGUGCAGAAGAGGAAAGUGGAAUUCCAAGUGUAGCGGUGAAAUA